rnacentral:rRNA from 1 species
CCUACGGGAGGCUGCAGUGGGGAAUAUUGGACAAUGGGGGGAACCCUGAUCCAGCCAUUCCGCGUGUGUGAAGAAGGCCCUCGGGUUGUAAUGCACUUUCAGUGAGGAAGAACGCCUGGUGGUUAAUACCCAUCAGGAAAGACAUCACUCACAGAAGAAGCACCGGCUAACUCCGUGCCAGCAGCCGCGGUAAUACGGAGGGUGCGAGCGUUAAUCGGAAUUACUGGGCGUAAAGCGCGCGUAGGUGGCUUGAUAAGCCGGUUGUGAAAGCCCCGGGCUCAACCUGGGAACGGCAUCCGGAACUGUCAAGCUAGAGUGCAGGAGAGGAAGGUAGAAUUCCCGGUGUAGCGGGGAAAUGCGUAGAGAUCGGGAGGAAUACCAGUGGCGAAGGCGGCCUUCUGGACUGACACUGACACUGAGGUGCGAAAGCGUGGGUAGCAAACAGGAUUAGAUACCCGUGUAGUC